rnacentral:rRNA from 1 species
UACGUAGGCAGCAAGCGUUGUUCGGAGUUACUGGGCGUAAAGCGUGCGCAGGCGGCUUGCCAAGUCAGAUGUGAAAGCCCCGGGCUCAACCCGGGAACUGCGUUUGAAACUGGCAGGCUAGAGUUUGGCAGAGGGGGGUGGAAUUCCACGUGUAGCAGUGAAAUGCGUAGAGAUGUGGAGGAACACCGAUGGCGAAGGCAGCCCCCUGGGCCAAAACUGACGCUCAGGCACGAAAGCGUGGGGAGCAAACAGG